AAUUUAUACAGUGAAACUGCGAAUGGCUCAUUAAAUCAGUUAUCGUUUAUUUGAUAGUUCCUUUACUACAUGGUAUAACUGUGGUAAUUCUAGAGCUAAUACAUGCUUAAAAUCUCGACCCUUUGGAAGAGAUGUAUUUAUUAGAUAAAAAAUCAAUGUCUUCGGACUCUUUGAUGAUUCAUAAUAACUUUUCGAAUCGCAUGGCCUUGUGCUGGCGAUGGUUCAUUCAAAUUUCUGCCCUAUCAACUUUCGAUGGUAGGAUAGUGGCCUACCAUGGUUUCAACGGGUAACGGGGAAUAAGGGUUCGAUUCCGGAGAGGGAGCCUGAGAAACGGCUACCACAUCCAAGGAAGGCAGCAGGCGCGCAAAUUACCCAAUCCUAAUUCAGGGAGGUAGUGACAAUAAAUAACGAUACAGGGCCCAUUCGGGUCUUGUAAUUGGAAUGAGUACAAUGUAAAUACCUUAACGAGGAACAAUUGGAGGGCAAGUCUGGUGCCAGCAGCCGCGGUAAUUCCAGCUCCAAUAGCGUAUAUUAAAGUUGUUGCAGUUAAAAAGCUCGUAGUUGAACUUUGGGCCCGGUUGGCCGGUCCGAUUUUUUCGUGUACUGGAUUUCCAACGGGGCCUUUCCUUCUGGCUAACCUUGAGUCCUUGUGGCUCUUGGCGAACCAGGACUUUUACUUUGAAAAAAUUAGAGUGUUCAAAGCAGGCGUAUUGCUCGAAUAUAUUAGCAUGGAAUAAUAGAAUAGGACGUUUGGUUCUAUUUUGUUGGUUUCUAGGACCAUCGUAAUGAUUAAUAGGGACGGUCGGGGGCAUCAGUAUUCAAUUGUCAGAGGUGAAAUUCUUGGAUUUAUUGAAGACUAACUACUGCGAAAGCAUUUGCCAAGGACGUUUUCAUUAAUCAAGAACGAAAGUUAGGGGAUCGAAGAUGAUCAGAUACCGUCGUAGUCUUAACCAUAAACUAUGCCGACUAGGGAUCGGGUGGUGUUUUUUUAAUGACCCACUCGGCACCUUACGAGAAAUCAAAGUCUUUGG
rnacentral:rRNA from 2 species